rnacentral:rRNA from 1 species
UACGUAGGGGGCAAGCGUUGUCCGGAAUCAUUGGGCGUAAAGAGCGUGUAGGCGGUCCAGUAGGUCCGCUGUGAAAGUCAAGGGCUCAACCCUUGAAAGCCGGUGGAUACUGCUGGACUAGAGUCCGGAAGAGGCGAGUGGAAUUCCUGGUGUAGCGGUGAAAUGCGCAGAUAUCAGGAGGAACACCGAUGGCGAAGGCAGCUCGCUGGGACGGUACUGACGCUGAGACGCGAAAGCGUGGGGAGCAAACAGG